GAAAAGCCAUCCUCCCCUUCGCCAAAGGCCCACGGCGCCGCUUCCCAGCCUCCGCCUUUCGGGCUUGAUGUGUGAAUCAAAGCAGGAUGGAUCGCUACCGAUACUUCAUCUUUAACCAGAGGAACAUGGUGGUGCUGGGUCUGUUCCAGAUCGCCUUCAGCACGGUGUGCGUCGUCAGCGGGUUCAUAGAUGCUGUUUUCAGAAUGGAGUCUGAGCUGGGCAAAACCAGAGCUCCAAUUUGGGCUGGGAUGGUGAUGGGAGUCCCCGGCGUCCUGGCUUUGUUUUCCUCUCAGAGGAAGAAUCCAGUUCUGGUCAACGUGCUGAUAGUCGCUUCCAUCGUCUCUUGCCUUGCCGUCCUCACCGUAAUAGUGUACAGCUCCCUCACCCUGACCUAUGGUGAAGAGGAGGAGCUGAGUUCUGCCCCGGUCCACGUUAUCCAUACGAGAUUCGUACUUAAUAAAGUGGUGAAGGGUGCUAACGUAGCCAUGCUAGCCGCAUCGAUUGGCAGUGCUGCUGUUGUGCUGGUGAUGGCUUAUUUGGGAUGCCGGAGUCUUCCACGCUGCUCGUGCUACGACAGCGAAACGGGGAUGCUGCUGUGGUCCCAUUUCCUAUGGAUUCCUGCUCUCUUCAAAAACUGCUCCUCCUUCUCUCACCCUUAAACCAACGAUUGCUCCUGGUACAGCAUUUCAAAGACUUACUGGUACUCACACACCCGGACGCCUUAUCCCUAGAACUACAAAUUCAAUGAUAAAAAUAUCCCUGUACCGUGUGUGACGUGUGGGGCGGACGACACACCACGUUUCACUGCUGAUUUGUGAGGACCUGCUCAUAAACCACCUCCUCAUUUAUGAGGACCACCUCAAGCGAUGGGGCGCACACGCUGCGUGUCUCUGCUGGGGGAGCUCGGUAAAUACCCGCUGCUUCUCUACUAGCGUGAUUCUGAUGCAGCGUUGAACGUGUACAUCCGACCAUCUCGUCUGGUAAGGAAUUAGUGGGUACAGGUUACGAGGCAGCUGCCCUUGACUAAAGACACCAAGCGUCUAAGGUGAGGCUGCUUUAAACUUUCAAACCAAAACUUGUUAGGAGGGGUGGACUACGCAGGCUUUUUAAAUGAGUUCGAGUGUAUCUUCUUGAACAGUCGGAGAUGAGUGUUUUGAUGGCGUUGUUUCAUUCAUAGGAAUGGUUGCAACCUAGUGAGGACCAAAAUCAGGCUGUGGAAAUGGUUUGCGCUGUACAAAGUCCUGGGGGCAGAAUUUUUAACUUCCCAGAUCGGUUUCCAGCCCAGGACUUAGAUGCAGAGGAAGACGCGUCCAAGCCUCCGCCGUA